rnacentral:rRNA from 1 species
UGCAAGUCGAGCGAACAGAUAAGGAGCUUGCUCCUUUGACGUUAGCGGCGGACGGGUGAGUAACACGUGGGUAACCUACCUAUAAGACUGGGAUAACUUCGGGAAACCGGAGCUAAUACCGGAUAAUAUUUCGAACCGCAUGGUUCGAUAGUGAAAGAUGGUUUUGCUAUCACUUAUAGAUGGACCCGCGCCGUAUUAGCUAGUUGGUAAGGUAACGGCUUACCAAGGCGACGAUACGUAGCCGACCUGAGAGGGUGAUCGGCCACACUGGAACUGAGACACGGUCCAGACUCCUACGGGAGGCAGCAGUAGGGAAUCUUCCGCAAUGGGCGAAAGCCUGACGGAGCAACGCCGCGUGAGUGAUGAAGGUCUUCGGAUCGUAAAACUCUGUUAUUAGGGAAGAACAUACGUGUAAGUAACUGUGCACGUCUUGACGGUACCUAAUCAGAAAGCCACGGCUAACUACGUGCCAGCAGCCGCGGUAAUACGUAGGUGGCAAGCGUUAUCCGGAAUUAUUGGGCGUAAAGCGCGCGUAGGCGGUUUUUUAAGUCUGAUGUGAAAGCCCACGGCUCAACCGUGGAGGGUCAUUGGAAACUGGAAAACUUGAGUGCAGAAGAGGAAAGUGGAAUUCCAUGUGUAGCGGUGAAAUGCGCAGAGAUAUGGAGGAACACCAGUGGCGAAGGCGACUUUCUGGUCUGUAACUGACGCUGAUGUGCGAAAGCGUGGGGAUCAAACAGGAUUAGAUACCCUGGUAGUCCACGCCGUAAACGAUGAGUGCUAAGUGUUAGGGGGUUUCCGCCCCUUAGUGCUGCAGCUAACGCAUUAAGCACUCCGCCUGGGGAGUACGACCGCAAGGUUGAAACUCAAAGGAAUUGACGGGGACCCGCACAAGCGGUGGAGCAUGUGGGUUUAAUUCGAAGCAACGCGAAGAACCUUACCAAAUCUUGACAUCCUUUGACAACUCUAGAGAUAGAGCUUUCCCCUUCGGGGGACAAAGUGACAGGUGGGUGCAUGGUUGUCGUCA